GGUAUUUAAAAGGUGGAUAUUCCUUCUAUGUUUACGUGAUUCCUGGUUAAUCAUAGAGGAAAAUCCAUGUUUUCAGUAUC
rnacentral:pre_miRNA from 12 species